GGACGAAACUCUGAAGAGCCUGUUUUAGAAACAGCACCAAAGGUGAAAGAUAUAUUAUCGAAACUCUCGGGUAAAUGAACAGAGGAUGUGUG
rnacentral:ncRNA from 2 species